ACAAAUACAGCCCCUACAAACAUGUGAUUGGGAAUGUUGAUUGAGCCCAACAAAAAGUCUAGUGAAAACAGGGAAAAAAAACUAUUCAGGCUUUGUCCUCCCUCAGUGCCCAUGUUAAAACCUGUCGAGACCUGUCAGAGAGAGACAUCAUGACAGUGUAAUACUGCAUCCUGUUGGCAUUUGAUUUGUUUAAGGUACCUCCUCCAAUGAGAGCCAUAUCAUUUGCAGAUUGCCUCAGGAAAGAUAGGGAAAGUUAAAAGUGGAAUAUCCACUCUCUCCACCCACUCACUUCUCCCACAGUUAUAACCUGGGACACUGCAUUGUAUGGAUUUAUUGGACAGAAGAACCUCCAGAGGCUGUGAGCUUACAGAUAACUCACUGGCAAAAUGCUUCUGUUGUUUCUGUCUCUGGUUUUGGGAACUCCACAAGGACAAGGGGUUACAGUAACGUGUGACAAUAUAUCGGUUUCAAAAGACCAGCAACUAACACUGUGCUGUACAGUGGAUUACACUGCCAUAAAAACUAUCAAACAUGGGACGAAGGGGACCACAAAUGACACAACAUGUGUUACUGAGUGGUUUGCAUGGAAGUAUGCAGAUAAUGUACUACGGGAAUGUGGGAAAGACUGUCACAAGAUAGAAACGGAAGCACCACACUACUAUUAUACGAAAGAAAAUGUUACAAAAGCUGAUGAGGGUAAUUACACUUUUUACAUUGGCACAAACUGUGGGAUUGGUUCAGGGACAACAAGCUUUUUCACUGAUGCAGUUACUGCGAAAAGUGUUGACAACUGGAGAAAGCAACAAGUAUGGUUAGCUCUGGUUGUCAUCAUCUGCGUCGUCGCUGUUCUGGGCGUUCUAUUGUUUCUAAAAACUUCUCGUUCUGGCAGAAGAUUGAUGGAACGACUCAAGAGUUCUAUGACCCAGAGCAACAACAACACUGAUGAGAGCCCUGAAGGUUCAAGAGAGGCCGUUACCCUGGUGCCUGCAUAACAUUCAGCGUGAGCCAGUUGUCUUGUUGGUUCUUUCGAAAUGAACUCCACGUUGACCUCUGCUAUGUUGCUGUAUGUCAGAUGCAUUCCAUACCAAUAAAACACUACUCACUUUUGCACCUAAAUUAGUUUUGCACCAACAUUUGUGGAAUCAGUUAGUGAAAUCACUAAUAAUCGUCUUUCACAGAAAAAAGGGUGCUAUCUAGAACCAUCCCCAUAGGAGAACCCUUUGAAUAACUCUGGUUCCAGGUAGAACCCUUUUCAUAACCCUUAAGCUUGUUUACAAAGGGAGUUGGUUUUGGUCUAUAUAUACAUUGAUGUUGUAAUAUUCUGUAAUAUUCUCACAAGCAUUGUUUUCAUAACUACUAAGCUAAACUUGUUUUUAGUUUUAGCCUAAACUCUGACGUAAUUUUCUGGGACUCAUGUUUUUUUAAUUAAUAUAAAAUGUUAUUGAUUUGUGUACAAAUAAACGUUUGGAAAUAACCAGUCUUCAUAAUGUUAUUUCUCUCAUAUAGAGCUUGUUGUCUUGUGCCGAAUUAUUAUCUCCAACAAUAAUGUACAUUUCAGUUAUCACAGCACAUAGAGUACCCGUCAGCAGAAAAUAACCAC